rnacentral:lncRNA from 1 species
UGACGUGUGUAUGGCCUAUUCGAAGUCGGCACAGUACUACUUCGAUAAAACGCUCUUGAUGAAAGCAAGUCUUCCACUCAUCAAGGACAGGUUUUAUUAGGCGAAGUUUGUUGUUUUGUUGCGAUUUCCAUUCUUGCUGCCAAUGAGAGGUGAUGGCCCGGCGAACUGCUUUAAUUCCAUCCCUAACUGGUACAUUGAUUUUUGAAACACGUAGCUCUUUUGCCGUUGCUGCGAGUUGGUCCGCCCUUUCAUUGCCUGGGAUCCCAACGUGACUCGGGACCCAACAGAAGUGUAUGGUAUGGUCGUCGGGUGUGAGGGAUAACAUGUUUAAAAUAUC